rnacentral:rRNA from 1 species
UACGUAGGGUGCGAGCGUUGUCCGGAAUUACUGGGCGUAAAGAGCUCGUAGGUGGUUUGUCGCGUUGUCCGUGAAAACUCACAGCUCAACUGUGGGCGUGCGGGCGAUACGGGCAGACUGGAGUACUGCAGGGGAGACUGGAAUUCCUGGUGUAGCGGUGGAAUGCGCAGAUAUCAGGAGGAACACCGGUGGCGAAGGCGGGUCUCUGGGCAGUAACUGACGCUGAGGAGCGAAAGCGUGGGGAACGAACAGG